CCCAUCUAAAUAGAAUAAAAAGAUACAGCUGGAACACUUUGUGUGGAAGCUAUUUGGAAGUCAGUAAUAUUGAGAAGUUGUCUUGAAAAUAAACCGGCUUGAACCAAAAGACCAGCUUGGAUUAACUCUUCCACCACAACCCCUUACUGUGCGAACCCACAGCAUCCACCCUGUGACCCAGUAAAGGAAAACAAACAUUCAUCGACAAGCACUCUAGUUGGAAACAAAAACAAAAAUAGCUGGAUAAACUCAGCAGGUCUGACAGCAUCUGCGGAAAGAAAUACAGUUAACGCUUCGAGUCCAUAUGACUCUUCAUCAGAACUCUGAUUGGAGGUAUGUUGGAGGAGAUAUUGCUGACAAUGAAACUUCCAAAACUCAUAUUAAUGCUAUGCGUAAGUUGAUUCUGUGUUGCCGGCUCAGCUUGAACAGGAGUGUUCUUAUUGGGGGAAAGUGCGCUGAUGUAUUGUUGGCACAGUCAAACUACUGUCUUCUCUAAGAGAACAUGAUGAGUCAUGAUUGUCAAGUAGAAAAGGUAAUUUUCUAACCUGCCUUGAAUAUCUUAAUGAAUUUGAUGAUUUUCUCAAAGACCCUUUGAAAAGUUAUCAGAAUUGUGGCAAUUAUACUACUGGAGGAAGACCAGCUUUUUAAUGCACUAAACCUAUGACGAAUUCAUCACUAUAAUGGCAGAGCGGCUCAGAAACCAAUUCACCGAUGAAGUAAAGGAUGCCAAGUACUAUUCCAUAAUAGUCAAUCCAACACCAGAUGUGAGUCAAGUAGACCAAUUAACAAUAAUUUUAAGAUAUGUGUCCAGCGAUGGUGAAGUGGUAGAGCGAUUUCUUUCUUUUCUCCCACUUAAACCCCGGGCUUCUGAAUGUCUGGAGACAACUGUUUUGGAAAUUGUUGCAAAUUUAGUUUUGGACAAAAAUUGUCAUAGGCAGAGCUUUGAUAAUGCCACAAAUGUGGUGGGAAAAUAUUCAGGUCUACAAGUGAGACUGAACAACGCCAACCCCUCUGCUUUAUUCACACCAUGUUCCAGCCAUUCCUUAACUUUAAUCUGCAAUGCUGCAGCCGAAUCUAGUGAGGGAGCAACACGUUUUUCUUGACUUCGUGCAAAACAUGUAUGCCUUUUUUCCAGUUUCUAUGA